rnacentral:tRNA from 1 species
GAUAGUGUGUCCGAGUGGUCUAUGGCGCUGAUUUAUGUCACCAGUCUCUUCGGGGGCAAGAGUUCGAAUCCCUUCACUGUCA